UGGGGAAUAUUGGACAAUGGGCGAAAGCCUGAUCCAGCCAUGCCGCGUGUGUGAAGAAGGUCUUCGGAUUGUAAAGCACUUUAAGUUGGGAGGAAGGGCAGUAAGCGAAUACCUUGCUGUUUUGACGUUACCGACAGAAUAAGCACCGGCUAACUCUGUGCCAGCAGCCGCGGUAAUACAGAGGGUGCAAGCGUUAAUCGGAAUUACUGGGCGUAAAGCGCGCGUAGGUGGUUCGUUAAGUUGAAUGUGAAAGCCCCGGGCUCAACCUGGGAACUGCAUCCCAAACUGGCGAGCUGGAGUAGGGCAGAGGGUGGUGGAAUUUCCUGUGUAGCGGUGAAAUGCGUAGAUAUAGGAAGGAACACCAGUGGCGAAGGCGACCACCUGGGCUCAUACUGACACUGAGGUGCGAAAGCGUGGGGAGCAAACAGG
rnacentral:rRNA from 1 species